rfam:Ictidomys tridecemlineatus contig067343, whole genome shotgun sequence.
GGGGCUGUGGCUCAGUGGUAGAGUGCCUGCCUCUCACGUGUGAGGCAAUGGGUUCAAUCCUCAGCACCA